GACGAACGCUGGCGGCGUGCUUAACACAUGCAAGUCGAACGGAAAGGCCCCUUUGGGGGUACUCGAGCGGCGAACGGGUGAGUAACACGCGAGUAACCUGCCCUUGACUUCGGGAUAACUUCAGGAAACUGGGGCUAAUACCUGAUAGGAAUCCUUGCCGCAUGGUGGGGGUUGGAAAGCUUCGGCGGUUUUGGAUGGACUCGCGGCCUAUCAGCUUGUUGGUGGGGUAGUGGCUUACCAAGGGUUUGACGGGUAGCCGGCCUGGGGGGGCGACCGGCCACAUUGGGACUGGGGUACGGCCCAGGCUCCUACGGGGAGCAACAGUGGGGGAUAUUGCACAAUGGGCGGGAACCUGAUGCAGCAACGCCGCGUGCGGGAUGACGGCCUUCGGGUUGUAAACCGCUUUCAGCAGGGGCGAAGCUUGUGGUGACGGUACCUGCAGAAGAAGCACCGGCUAACUACGUG
rnacentral:rRNA from 1 species